AGAGUUUGAUUCUGGCUCAGGAUGAACGCUGGCGGCGUGCCUAACACAUGCAAGUCGAGCGGGGAAGCCGGAACAUGUAGAGAUAUAUGAGAAAGCAUCCUAGCGGCGGACGGGUGAGCAACACGUGAGGAACCUGCCUUACACAGGGGAAUAACACCGUGAAAACGGUGCUAAUACCGCAUAACACCGCACUAUGGCAUCAUAGAGCGGUCAAAGGAGAAAUCCGGUGUAAGAUGGCCUCGCGCCCGAUUAGUUAGUUGGUGGGGUAAUGGCCUACCAAGACUGCGAUCGGUAGCCGGACUGAGAGGUCGAACGGCCACAUUGGAACUGAGAGACGGUCCAGACUCCUACGGGAGGCAGCAGUGGGGAAUAUUGGGCAAUGGGGGGAAACCCUGACCCAGCAACGCCGCGUGAAGGAAGAAGGCCUUCGGGUUGUAAACUUCUUUGAUCAGGGAAGAAACAAAUGACGGUACCUGAAAAACAAGCCACGGCUAACUACGUGCCAGCCGCCGC
rnacentral:rRNA from 1 species